CCUACGGGUGGCAGCAGUGGGGAAUCUUGGUCAAUGGGCGCAAGCCUGACCCAGCAAAGCCGCGUGAAGGAAGAAGGCGUUCGGGUUGUAAACUUCUUUUGUCAGGGACGAAGCAAGUGACGGUACCUGACGAAUAAGCCACGGCUAACUACGUGCCACCAGCCGCGGGAAUACGUAGGUGGCAAGAGUUAUCCGGAUUUAUUGGGUGUAAAGGGCGGGUAGGCGGGAAUGCAAGUCAGAUGUGAAAACUAUGGGCUCAACCCAUAGCCUGCAUUUGAAACUGUAUUUCUUGAGUGCUGGAGAGGCAAUCGGAAGUCCGUGUGUAGCGGUGAAAUGCGUAGAUAUAAGGAGGAACACCAGUGGCGAAGGCGAC
rnacentral:rRNA from 1 species